GGUAGAAUAAGUUAAUUAAACUGUUGGACUCAUGAUCCAAUAAUGAAAGGUGUAAUCCCUUCUUCUGCCU
rnacentral:tRNA from 1 species